AGUUGUUCUAGCUAGAGUAGGUUGGUUCAUCCAAAUCUACGACGCUCUUUAUGUUUUUGUAGAUUUCAUGUUCGUAAUUAUAUCAAAAUCUUGAUUAUUUUCCUUUGUUUUCUUUCGGUCUAAGACAGCUACUGAUUUUUCAGCUCAACUAGCUUUUUAAUGAAGUCUUGGGUGUUUUAUUGCCGUGUAAUCAGGCGUCAAAAGUCUAUUGUCUAUGAACUUUUGAUGCAAAUACGAUGCAUUCGUCAUGUUAAAAGAGUUCCAUAAAGAGUUUGUUUGUAAAUCUCAGGAUUGCAAUGAUGCUAAAGAAAGUCUUUUUCCCUUUGUGAUGAGUAUUUUUUUAAAAAAAAAAUUGUGAGCAAAAGUUUUAUGGAUUUCACAGGUAUAAAGAAAUAAUUCGCCAACCAGUUUGAUGCUUAACUGAGAAUAAUAAUUCACGAAAUGCCAUCUCAUUAUAGAAUUGCUGUGGUUCAAUUUUGAUGCUUAGGUGAUCACUAGUGAUUAAGAGUUAAAACUGGUUUCUUGUUAAUAAUGAUAAAGAUGACAUGUAGGUAAGUCAUGGCAUAGACUUAUUUGAAGUGCCUUUUGUUUUUUUUUAUAUAUUUUUGUGAAAAAUAUGUGGGUUAGAUCUAAUGCAAUUGAUUUGCAGAUGUAUGUGAGUUAGAUCUUAUUAUACAAUUGAUUUUGGGGAUUUACUGAUGCUUCAGAAAAAGAAAAUGCACAUUGAACUACUCAUGUUAAGGGAUUUGAAGAUUCAGUGGUUAUCAACUUGGUCCAGGUGUUACUACUUACUAUUUUCAUUACAAAACAUGCAUAGAGUUGGACUAUCUUUGCAAGGAACAUUCAAUCUGACAUCAACCCACUGGUUCAUUGAUUUACUUUUGGAAUCGAUGCGUAAAAUAUUGUGAUGGUACAGUUGAUUAUUGUGAUUAGUGAAAGAUGAGGGUAGAAUUUAUGUAAGUCUUCAAACCAGGAUUUUAUAAUGGCAUAAGCCUUUAAUUAUAUCCAUAGUCAGGGGAAAGUUUCAGAUAUGCUUCUUCAAGGCAAAGGUUUCAAGUGCUAAAACGUGACUAUGUGAGGCAUUAGGUUCAACCAGAAUCUGCAGUGAGGGUAAUAAUUACCAUGUUUAAAAGAAAAGUUUAUCAUAUUGAUAUGGGUUCAGUAAUCUGAAUGUAAAUGGUCUUAAGAAACCUAUGGGUAAACUAAGCAGCUUAUUAUGCUGGAUAGGUCAUUGACAAAUUAUCUAAAGGAAUGAGGAAUGUACAACAGGAAAUGAUGUUAUCAAUCUUGGAGAAGGCAUGCAAUAUGAUCAUUGGAGGUAGUUUGGUGGGUGUUAGAGAUGAUUGACUCAUGUUAGUUAUGAUACAACUGUUGAGGAUUUGGUUACAUGCCCACAGCAAGAGUUAGUGGUUCGUUUACCUCUGUAUACUUGUUAAAGACAAAUAUAUUGUUAAUGAUAAGGAUGAAACUUCUUAUCAUUUGCUAUCCACAGAUGAUGUAUUACUAAUGACAUUACAGAUUAUUGGUGAAUGAAGGUCAAAAAAUAGUUGAAGUAGCAGAAAGCAUAUUGGAUGCAAUGUGCAACUUUUUGUGAAAAUGGUUUUAUAAUAGUAAAGAAAUAGUGCAAAAUGAGGAUGUUUCUGAUGGAAUACUUCUGUGAAGACGAAGAAGAAGAGCAAUCUUAUGGAGAAUUCUUGUGGGUAUGCAUUAAUAGGAGAGCAAUUUUGUGUAAAUUCUUACUUCUCCAACAUAAUCUGUGAGUUGUGUUUCUAGGAAAGAAAUCUAAUCCAGUUUAUCAUUACCCAUCAUUAUAUUUGAAACAAAUAUGUGGCCUAGGCCUAAGUAACUGAUCCCAUACAAUACUGUCUAUUAGAUGCCGAACUAAAUGUCAUAUCUCUCUCUCCCUUUCCUUUUUCUUAAUAUCUAAAAGCAUAAGAAUCCUUCUUUAAGGGAAAAAGCUGAAAUACCUUCAAAGCUCCUUUCCUUUUUCCGUUUUAAAUUAGUAAAUGCCUAAAAACUAAAUGAGUAUGCAGAUAUACAGUGGAUUAGCUAUCCUAUAUGAAUAGCCUGCAUAUAAUUCUAUAUGAGUACCCAGAAUAUGUUGUUAAGUUUUUCCUACAAGUCAUCUCGUGAAAUGUGACCCUAAGUUGACCUUCUCCCACAAUUGUUGGGGUAAAUGCAGACCAUGGUCAGAGGUGAUUGACAUGGAGAAAAUGGAUGACUAUAGAUGUGUGGUGCGCAUAUAGGACUCUUUGCAGGUUAAGCAACUUGGAUAGCACCUUCAUGCGCUUUUAUUUUAGUUGUUGUUGUUUUUUUUUUGGAAUGCCAUAUGAUAAUGCCUUCCAUAAUAUAUGUGCAUAUGUAUUCUUGUUCAGGUGAGUGUGGCAGAGGAUAGAGAAAUGGAUGAACCAUUGAUAUGGUAAAUGAUGUAUGGUAGAGACUACACAACCUGGAAAAUAAAAGGAAGUUUGAAGGGUAAUGAGGCAAGAGCGGCAGAAAAUUGAGAAUAUGAUGUUUGGUGUGACAAAAGGAACAAAAAAAGGAGUUGACAUUUUUAUCUCCCUGAAAUCUAACUAGCGGAUUGAAAUUCUUACUGGGCUGGAAAAGCUCAUAUCUUUUCUUGCUUUUUUUUUUAGAGUUUUAGGUUGCAUAAUACUUGGCUACUAUGUGCAUAUNNNNNNNNNNNNNNNNNNNNUUUUCUUUGCUUUUUUUUUUAGAGUUUUAGGUUGCAUAAUACUUGGCUACUAUGUGCAUAUGUAUUCUUGUUCAUGUGAGUGUGGCAGAGGAUAGAGAAAUGGAUGAACCAUUGAUACGGUAAAUGAUGUAUGGUAGAGACUCCACAACCUGAAAAAUAAAAGGAAGUUUGAAGGGUAAUGAGGCAAGAGCGGCAGAAAAUUGAGAAUAUGAUGUUUGGUGCGACAAAAGGAAUAAAAAAAGGAGUUGACAUUUUUAUCUCCCUGAAAUCUAACUACUUGCAGCUGGUAUUGACAUAAUUGCCAUCACCACAAUCACCACUAUUGUCUUGCCAUUAUUGUUGACAUUAAUAUGACACUACUGUAACUGGUACUACAAUGAUUGCCAGAAUUACAAUCACUGAUGUUACUCGCUACUGUUGUUGCACAUUGCCGCCUGGAAUGCCCACAUCUCAUAGAUGUGAGUCCUUCCAAAGAAAAAUGUUAAUGUUGACAAUUGUUGUCCAUAACACACUCAAGGAUUUGUACGAUAGUUUAUCAAAUAUCAAGUUCACCUAAACCAGGGGCUUGACAUAGAAAUGAAAAGAAAUAUAUGACAAUGAAGAAGAUCGACAACACUUGUAGUGUAGUUAAUAUGAUAAUAAGAGAAUGAUGUUGACAAAAGAGAUUCUAAUGGCGUGAUGAUUUUGCAAAAGAGGCACACCUUAUAGAAUUUGAAGCUUUGUAUAAUUAACAAUGUGAAAAAUUCUAAGCAAGUUAUUCUUGAAUAUGUAAUUUCAAGGUAAUGCCUAUAUGUCAGUACUCAGUAGAAUAGCUAAGCUGCCAUUAGAAAGCUUAAAUUGCGACCUUAAAAAUCUUUAUAAUUUUGGCCUUAAAAUGGAUAUAGGUGGACUUUGAAUUUUGGAUAAAAUUGUGACCUAAGUUGUGAGAAGGUUGUUAUAGUGGUUGUGGGUUCCAAAAAGGGAUGGAUGUGGAUUUCUUAUUUGUUAGUAAGCAAUCAAUCAUAGCCUUCCAAACUCAUGUGGGCUGUUUUAGUUAGAAUAAUUUCCAUACUGCUUUUAUUAAAAGAUGAGUCAGUUCAAUUUUAACCGCUAAUCUCAUGAAUGCCAGGAAUCUCACCACUUUUUUUGUUAGAGACUUUUGCUAGUCAGAGUCAGAUUUUAAAACAGAAAUAAUUUAAUAUAUAAGUUUUUGUUGAGCAGAAGUCAAAUAUAAUUAGAAACCCAAAUGGAAGAAAGAAAAGGAGGAUGAAGGAAAUGAGGAACUUGCAGGAAAAUUUGAGCAGUGAAUGCAAAGAAGAAAAAGGAAAGAGAAGGAAGGAGACCAAAGUUCUUUUUUGUUUUUUCCAUUAAAGUUCUUGUGUUGUUUUAUGAGAAAAAAUAAGGUUCUUUGUUCCCUAUGGCUUUGUUUUUUUGGUUAAACCUUUGGUUAUGCCUUGACAUGCAUUUUUCUUCUUUUUUGAUGGAAUAUGCCUUUCACAUCUAAAUAUAGUAUGUUAUAAUAAUAAACUUCCUCCACUGUCUCCAAAUACAAUUUAUUUUAAGUUGAAAUAAGAUUAUUUAUUUGCAAUUAGUAUGCAGGUUUUAACUCUUAUGUAAUUAAGUUUCGUGAUAUGAAUUUGAGAAUUAAUUUGGACACUUGCAUAUUUGAUUAUACCAUGAGAUUUUGUUCUAGCUUCACACUUUGGGUUAUAAUUUGUGUGCCAAAAAUAGACAAUGACCUUUACAAUAAAACCUUUUCUCUUACCCUUGUCUUAACUCUUUCCAUUUUCCAGAAUUUCUGAGAAUUGUUACUAGUAAGAAUGGUUUCCCUACCUGUUUUUCGGAUUUGGCUUGCCCUACUCUUUCUGGAAGUUGCCUGCACCAGAAUUCACCAAUAUCUAAUAGGUUUGGUGUUAGGUUCAUGACUGAUCAUAGAAGUUGCUUUAUCCUUAAAUGGAUCCUUCUUGGAUUAGAGUUGCACCUUGAAUCCAACUACUUUUUGUUGGGAGAAGGCUAAUGGUCAAGAUGUUGACAAACUUAAUGUUAAUCUAGAAAUUGAAAUACUCCUUCAUGCAAUAGGCUCUUUUGCUUUUCUCUGUUAGAGAUUGAGAUGACAUACCAACAUGCAUCCUAAUCUGACUCCUUUUUCAUGUCCAUGAAAGCUUAUGGUAUUCCACUCAUACCAAUGUCACCACCAUAACCACCACUACUAGUCAGCAUUGUUUUUAUCAAUACCGUCAUUGAAUUUUCUUAAGAAAACAUGUUAUGUUCAACCAAGAGGCAAUAAUCAAUCUUUGGUAAACCUCAUUUUUUAUUCUCUGAACAAUUUGUCUAAGACAACAAACAUAGAAUAUUUUCUGAUUCCUUUUUUUCAUUGUUUUAUUUUUGAUCUCCUGAUUUCAUGUCUUUCUUCGAUUUAUACUUCCAAAUAUGACCUCUAACAACAUGG
rnacentral:lncRNA from 1 species